rnacentral:ribozyme from 1 species
UCGAGAUCGCCGUUAAUAAUGGACUUGAAGCCUUAUGAAUUAUAAUAUUGGCUCUCCAUACCCUAUACUUACUCAAUACGCCAAUUGCUUACAAAAUGGUUUUAUGUUUCUCCAAAUAUAUAUUGUAUGGGGACACUCAACCAUUUGGGGAGAUAGGUGACAUAACUGAAUUGAUUGGU